rnacentral:tRNA from 2 species
GCAGUCGUGGCCGAGUGGUUAACGCGAAGGACUAGAAAUCCACUGAGGUCUCCCCGCACAGGUUCGAAUCCUGUCGACUACU